rnacentral:misc_RNA from 1 species
AAGUCGUAACAAGGUUUCCGUAGGUGAACCUGCGGAAGGAUCAUUAAAGAAUACCUGGACUCGGUCCUCGUCGAGAAAGGUCGUCCCGGGUGCCUCCAGGUCCCCGGGGCUUCCCCCUUUACCCUCGUUUACUCUACCUCCGUUGCUUUGGCACAGCUCCUGCCCGGUGGUUCCGGGCUUGGGCUCUGCCGGAGGGCCCCAACUGUGGAUAGUCUAUGUUUGUCUGAGUGCGAACAAUCGUUUA